UAGGGGAGCCGGAGGGAAACCGAGUCUUAAUUGGGCGUUAAGUUGCAGGGUAUAGACCCGAAACCCGGUGAUCUAGCCAUGGGCAGGUUGAAGGUUGGGUAACACUAACUGGAGGACCGAACCGACUAAUGUUGAAAAAUUAGCGGAUGACCUGUGGCUGGGGGUGAAAGGCCAAUCAAACCGGGAGAUAGCUGGUUCUCCCCGAAAGCUAUUUAGGUAGCGCCUCGUGAAUUCAUCUCCGGGGGUAGAGCACUGUUUCGGCUAGGGGGCCAUCCCGGCUUACCAACCCGAUGCAAACUGCGAAUACCGGAGAAUGUUAUCACGGGAGACACACGGCGGGUGCUAACGUCCGUCGUGAAGAGGGAAACAACCCAGACCGCCAGCUAAGGUCCCAAAGUCAUGGUUAAGUGGGAAACGAUGUGGGAAGGCCCAGACAGCCAGGAUGUUGGCUUAGAAGCAGCCAUCAUUUAAAGAAAGCGUAAUAGCUCACUGGUCGAGUCGGCCUGCGCGGAAGAUGUAACGGGGCUAAACCAUGCACCGAAGCUGCGGCAGCGA
rnacentral:rRNA from 4 species